UACCCUCGAGUGGGGAAUAACUUCGGGAAACCGAGGCUAAUACCGCAUAAUACCCACGGGUCAAAGGAGCAAUUCGCUUGAGGAGGAGGUCGCGGCCGAUUAGUUAGUUGGCGGGGUAAUGGCCCCACCAAGACGGUGAUCGGUAUCCGGCCUGAGAGGGCGCACGGACACACUGGAACUGAAACACGGUCCAGACUCCUACGGGAGGCAGCAGUGGGGAAUUUUGCGCAAUGGGGGAAACCCUGACGCAGCAACGCCGCGUGGAGGAUGAAGUCUCUUGGGACGUAAACUCCUUUCGAUCGGGACGAUUAUGACGGUACCGGAAGAAGAAGCCCCGGCUAACUUCGUG
rnacentral:rRNA from 1 species